GCUGGGUUUGGUGGUGUACACCUGUAAUCCCUAUGGCUCUGGAGGCUGAGAUAGGAAAAUUGCAAGUUCAAAGCCAGCCUCAGCAAUGGUGAGGCGCUAAGCAACUCAGUGAGUCCUUAUCUCUG
rnacentral:sRNA from 1 species